GCACGAAGUUAGCCGGGGCUUCUUCUGCGGGUACCGUCAUCAUCGUCCCCGCCGAAAGAGCUUUACAACCCUAAGGGCUUCAUCACUCACGCGGCAUUGCUGGAUCAGGGUUGCCCCCAUUGUCCAAUACUCCCCACUGCUGCCUCCCGUAGGAGUCUGGGCCGUGUCUCAGUCCCAGUGUGGGUGAUCAUCCUCUCACACCACCUACGGAUCGUCGCCUUGGUGGGCCGUUACCCCGCCAACUAGCUAAUCCGACGCGGGCCCCUCAAAGGGCGAUGAAUCUUUCUCCCAUAGGACGUAUGCGGUAUUAGCCGGCGUUUCCACCGGUUAUCCCACACCCCUCGGCAGGUUCCCACGCGUUACUCACCCGUGCGCCACUCCCCUUGCGGAGCGUUCGACUUGCAUGUGUUAGGCAUGCCGCCAGCGUUCGUU
rnacentral:rRNA from 1 species